GAGUUUGAUCCUGGCUCAGAUUGAACGCUGGCGGAAUGCUUUACACAUGCAAGUCGAGCGGCAGCGCGGGGCAACCUGGCGGCGAGCGGCGAACGGGUGAGUAAUGCAUCGGAACAUGUCCUGUCGUGGGGGAUAGCCCGGCGAAAGCCGGAUUAAUACCGCAUACGUCCGAGAGGAGAAAGUGGGGGACCGAAAGGCCUCACGCGAUUGGGUUGGCCGAUGUCCGAUUAGCUAGUUGGUGGGGUAAAGGCCCACCAAGGCGAUGAUCGGUAGCUGGUCUGAGAGGAUGAUCAGCCACACUGGGACUGAGACACGGCCCAGACUCCUACGGGAGGCAGCAGUGGGGAAUUUUGGACAAUGGGGGCAACCCUGAUCCAGCCAUUCCGCGUGAGUGAAGAAGGCCUUCGGUUGU
rnacentral:rRNA from 1 species